AGUGAACGCUGGCGGUAGGCCUAACACAUGCAAGUCGAACGGCAGCACAGUAAGAGCUUGCUCUUACGGGUGGCGAGUGGCGGACGGGUGAGGAAUACAUCGGAAUCUACUUUUUCGUGGGGGAUAACGUAGGGAAACUUACGCUAAUACCGCAUACGACCUACGGGUGGAAGCAGGGGAUCUUCGGACCUUGCGCGAUUGAAUGAGCCGAUGUCGGAUUAGCUAGUUGGCGGGGUAAAGGCCCACCAUGGCGACGAUCCGUAGCUGGUCUGAGAGGAUGAUCAGCCGCACUGGAACUGAGACACGGUCCAGACUCCUACGGGAGGCAGCAGUGGGGAAUAUUGGACAAUGGGCGCAAGCCUGAUCCAGCCAUACCGCGUGGGUGAAGAAGGCCUUCGGGUUGUAAAGCCCUUUUGUUGGGAAAGAAAAGCAGCAGGUUAAUACCCCGCUGUUCUGACGGUACCCAAAAAAUAAGCACCGGCUAACUACGUG
rnacentral:rRNA from 1 species